rnacentral:rRNA from 1 species
AUACGGAGGGUGCAAACGUUAUCCGGAUUUACUGGGCGUAAAGCGCUCGCAGGCGGCUUCGUAAGUCUGACGUGAAAGCUCCCGGCUUAACUGGGAGAGGCCGUUGGAUACUGCGGAGCUUGAGGGCAGGAGAGGAGAGUGGAAUUCCCGGUGUAGCGGUGGAAUGCGUAGAUAUCGGGAGGAACUCCAGUGGCGAAGGCGACUCUCUGGCCUGACCCUGACGCUCAGGAGCGAAAGCGUGGGGAGCGAACAGGAUUAGAAACCCUAGUAGUCC